UUAUCGGAGAGUUUGAUCCUGGCUCAGGACGAACGCUGGCGGCGUGCCUAAUACAUGCAAGUCGAGCGGACAGAUGGGAGCUUGCUCCCUGAUGUUAGCGGCGGACGGGUGAGUAACACGUGGGUAACCUGCCUGUAAGACUGGGAUAACUCCGGGAAACCGGGGCUAAUACCGGAUGUUUGUUUGAACCGCAUGGUUCA
rnacentral:rRNA from 1 species